AAGCGCUUGCAACCAGACUUGGGCGCAGUUGAUCAUCCGGUGUUCUCACCGGGGCACUCUGCUGCGUACAGGCCAGCAUCGGUUUUGGUGGUUGGAUAAAGGCCCUGGGAAUGUAGCUUCUUUCGGGGAGUGUUAUAGCCCAGGGUGCAAUGCAGCCUACCGGGACCGAGGACCGCGCUUCGGCUAGGAUGCUGGCGUAAUGGUUGUAAGCGA
rnacentral:rRNA from 1 species